AUUGAACGCUGGCGGCAAGCCUAACACAUGCAAGUAGAACGAGUGGCGGACGGGUGAGUAAUGUCUGGGAAACUGCCUGAUGGAGGGGGAUAACUACUGGAAACGGUAGCUAAUACCGCAUACCAUCGGAUGUGCCCAGCUGGGAUUAGCUAGUAGGUGGGGUAAAGGCUCCACUAGGCGACGAUCCCUAGCUGGUCGGAGAGGAUGACCAGCCACACUGGAACUGAUACACGGUCCAGACUCCAACGGGAGGCAGCAGUGGGGAAUAUUGCACAAUGGGCGCAAGCCGGAUGCAGCCAUGCCGCGUGUAUGAAGAAGGCCUUCGGGUUGUAAAGUCCUUUCAGCGGGGAGGCGUUACCCGCAGAAGAAGCACCGGCUAACUCCGUGCCAGCAGCCGCGGUAAUAC
rnacentral:rRNA from 1 species